CCUACGGGUGGCUGCAGUGGGGAAUAUUGGACAAUGGGCGAAAGCCUGAUCCAGCCAUGCCGCGUGUGUGAAGAAGGCCUUCGGGUUGUAAAGCACUUUCAGUGGGGAAGAAAGCCUUGGGGCUAAUACCCUCGAGGAAGGACAUCACCCACAGAAGAAGCACCGGCUAACUCCGUGCCAGCAGCCGCGGUAAUACGGAGGGUGCGAGCGUUAAUCGGAAUUACUGGGCGUAAAGCGCGCGUAGGCGGUCUGAUAAGCCGGUUGUGAAAGCCCCGGGCUCAACCUGGGAACGGCAUCCGGAACUGUCAGGCUAGAGUGCAGGAGAGGAAGGUAGAAUUCCCGGUGUAGCGGUGAAAUGCGUAGAGAUCGGGAGGAAUACCAGUGGCGAAGGCGGCCUUCUGGACUGACACUGACGCUGAGGUGCGAAAGCGUGGGUAGCAAACAGGAUUAGAUCCCCCUGUAGUC
rnacentral:rRNA from 1 species